rnacentral:tRNA from 1 species
AAAGGGAGACCUAAUUCGGGUAGGAGACGAAAAAAAAGUAGUCGCUACCAAGAAUCAAUCCCAAAAGGUCGGGGCGAGGCGUGAGGCUUUCAAACUAGGUUCUGGGUUCAUAAAAGACCUGAAUCAGGAACAAGGGCUAUUAGCUCAGGUGGUUAGAGCGCACCCCUGAUAAGGGUGAGGUCCCUGGUUCGAGUCCAGGAUGGCCCACCUGCACAGGUGGCAAAAACAAAGAAGCGAGGAAUCAGCACCUUAUCUUACUGACAUAGUAAGAGAGAAUGCUGGCUCUGAGUAAAGAGUCCAGAGGAACCUUGAAAACUGCAUAGAGCUAGGUGAAAAAGCCAAAAAAGAAGACCGCAAG